GUAUUGAACUUGUUGUGGAGUGUGGUUGAUUUGUAUGUUUGGCCUAAUGUGAUGAAAUGUGAGGGCUAGUAGUGGACCAUGAAACCAUUGUCAUGGGGUUUGUUGCUUCGAGAUUUGUUUCACAUAUUGUAUCAUUAUUUUAUUUCUCAUUUCGUUGAGCCAUUCUAAUUAUGUACCUUGUGCUUUGUUUCAUUUCUUGUUUCGUUGAGCUUUUGUAUUUUGA
rnacentral:lncRNA from 1 species